UGUGGCCUAGUUGGUUAAAGCGCCGGACUAUCGACACGGAGUCGUGGGUUCGAAUCCCAUUA
rnacentral:tRNA from 1 species